rnacentral:rRNA from 1 species
GACGAACGCUGGCGGCGUGCUUAACACAUGCAAGUCGAACGGAAAGGCCUGCUUUCCCUUGUGGAUUGCGGGUACUCGAGUGGCGAACGGGUGAGUAACACGUGAGUGAUCUGCCCCCAACUUGGGUAUAAGCCUGGGAAACUGGGUCUAAUUCCCGAUAGGACUGCAGGGUGGUGCCUGUGGUGGAAAACGAUUUUCUAGUGGUUGGGGAUGAGCUCGCGGCCUAUCAGCUUGUUGGUGGGGUAAUGGCCGACCAAGGCGGCGACGGGUAGCCGGCCUGGGAGGGUGGACGGGCACAUUGGGACUGAGAUACGGCCCAGACUCCUACGGGAGGCAGCAGUGGGGAAUAUUGCACGAGGGGCGGAAGCCUGAUGCAGCGACGCCGCGUGGGGGAUGACGGCCUUCGGGUUGUAAACUCCUUUCGACCGCGAGGAAGCCACCUGGUUGGAAGGGUGGUGACGGUAGUGGUAGAAGAAGCACCGGCUAACUACGUG